rnacentral:rRNA from 1 species
GACGAACGCUGGCGGCGUGCUUAACACAUGCAAGUCGAACGAAAAGGCCCUGCUUUUGUGCGUCGCUCGAGUGGCGAACGGGUGUGUAACACGUGAGUAACCUGCCCCUUACUUUCGGAUAACUUCACGAAACUGGGGCUAAUACCGGAUAGGAUCUCCUGCUGCACGGUGGGUGAUGGAAAAUGUCGGCGGUUGGGGAUGGACUCGCGGCUUAUCUGCUUGUUGGUGGGGUAGGGGCUUACCAAGGCUUUGACGGGUAGCCGGCCUGAGAGGGUGACCGGCCACAUUGGGACUGAGAUACGGACCAGACUCCUACGGGAGGCAGCAGUGGGGAGUAUUACACAAUGGGCGGAAGCCUGAUGCGGCAACGCCGCGUGCGGGAAGACGGCCUUCGGGUUGUGAACCAAUGUCGCCUGUGACGAAGCGUGAGUGACGGUACUGGAUAAAGAAGCACCGGCUAACUACGUG